rnacentral:rRNA from 1 species
AUGGGCGAAAGCCUGACCCAGCAACGCCGCGUGGGGGAUGAAAGCCUUCGGGUUGUAAACCCCUUUUCCCGGGGAAGAAUAAUGACGGUACCCGGGGAAUAAGCCUCGGCUAACUACGUGCCAGCAGCCGCGGUAAUACGUAGGAGGCGAGCGUUAUCCGGAUUUACUGGGCGUAAAGAGGACGUAGGCGGCUUUUCAAGUCGGAUGUGAAAUUUCCCGGCUCAACCGGGACGGGUCAUUCGAUACUGUUGGGCUAGAGGACAGCAGGGGGAGACGGGAUUCCCGGUGUAGUGGUGGUAUACGUAGAUACCGGGAGGAACACCAGAGGCGAAGGCGGUCUCCAAGGCUGUUUCUGACGCUGAGGUCCGAAAGCGUGGGUAGCAAACAGACUUAGAUACUCUGGUAGUCCACGCCGUAAACAAUGGACACUAGGUAUAGGGAGUAUCGACCCUCUUUGUGCCGAAGCUAACGCUUUAAGU